rnacentral:tRNA from 1 species
GGAGGCGAAAGGAGUCCGGUGACUUUCGUGGCCUUCAAAGCCAUGGAUCCUGUCCUUUGCGGCCAGGAUGGUGGGUUCGACUCCCACACGCUUCCGCCA